GUUUUCCUAAUUAGGUAUUGAGAAUUACCAUUGGUAUUUGGAAUUAGAUUGCGGAGCAUUUAGGAACCGUUCUCGCUAUGUUGCCCAGGCUGGUCUUGAACUCCUCAGCUGAAAUGAGCCUCCCACCUCGGCCUCCCAAAGUGCUGGGAUUACAGGCGUCCCCUCUGCCCCAGUACUGUUUCCUCUCCCCAGCCCAGCCCCCACAGCUGCCUGCCCUGGCCUCACUCCCUGGCCUCCCCCAUCCCAGCCUCUGGGUCCCUGAGUCAGUCCCUGGGGCUGUCUGCCUUCUAGGGGAGCCUCUGGUGUGGACCAGAAAGUAACCUAAUCCCUUCCAGGCCCACCCUGGAAACAAAGGGAUUUGUCCACUAGCCUGGUGGUGAGAACCAUGUGGCCUCCUGUCUCUGGCAGAGAGGACUCCAGGAUCAAGGGCAGGUAAAAGGAGGAGCCUCCUGGGGAGCUUCAGAAGGAGGGUCCCAAGUCCCUCCUGCCCCACUUCUGUGCCUGGGUCACUCACACCCCUGCCUGACUCUAGCCCCCCUUCUCCAGGGGUCUCCACAACAUGUGAAUCAUGCCCAGCGUCUUCCAUUACACCCUUGAUAAAGUCCUCUCCUCACCAGGACCUCUGUCAUUUUACCUCAUGGUUUUGAAAUAAUUUUUGGUCUUCUUAGCAGUUUAAAAAUAUUGUUUUGUUUUUUUUCCUGAGUUUGGAGCAUUCCUGUUACUAAUUACAUUUUUUUUUUAGACAGGUGUACACUACUACACCCAGCUAAUUUGUUUUGUUUUGUUUUGUUUUGGUAGAGAUAGGAUCUUGCUAUGGUACCCAGGCUGGUCUUCAACUCCUGGGCUCAAGCAAUCCUCCUGCAUUGGCCUCCCAAAGUGCUGGAAUUACAGGCAUGAGGCAGCACGCCCAGCCCUAAUUACUUCUAUUACGCCAAAUUCCUUGUGUGGAAUUCCUGUGCUUUGCACACAAAUUGCCAGGUUGGCCCCAAAGGGGAAAAAAGUGGAUCCCAUUUUCCCAUCUUCUAUGCCUACGUGGCUGACAAAUCUCCCGAAUCCCACAGGAGCUGUCGCUGAUCUUUGUCCUCUAUUCGCUGAAAUAAAG
rnacentral:lncRNA from 1 species